rfam:Salmo salar isolate Sally breed double haploid chromosome ssa16, whole genome shotgun sequence.
AAAUGCACUAACUGUAAGUCGCUCUUGAUAAGAGCGUCUGCUAAAUGACUCAAA